rnacentral:rRNA from 1 species
UACGGAGGGUGCGAGCGUUGUCCGGAAUCAUUGGGCGUAAAGGGCGCGUAGGUGGCCCGGUCAGUUCGUGGUGAAAGCGCGGGGCUCAACUCCGCGUCGGCCAUGAAUACUGCUGGGCUGGAGCACUGUAGAGGCAGGCGGAAUUCCGGGUGUAGCGGUGGAAUGCGUAGAGAUCCGGAAGAACACCGGUGGCGAAGGCGGCCUGCUGGGCAGUGGCUGGACACUGAGGCGCGACAGCGUGGGGAGCAAACAGG